UGGCGCUGUCGGCGACUGCGGCUGACGUGAAGGUGCUGCUGCAGCGAGCUACCAACAUGCCCACAGCUAAACAGAAACUCCACUACGAGGGUCUAUUCUUCAAGGAUACGAACACCCUGGCGUAUUACAACGUGCCGCCCGGCGCCGUCAUACAGCUGCAGGUCAAAGAACGAGGAGGUCGCAAGAAAUAGCACUAUAACUAGUGCUGCCAUCUCUUAUUAAUAUCGUAACAAAGGACAACUAUACAAGUGCUGCCAUCUAUUUGUCUUGUAAAGAAACUAUAUGUCUUAAUUGGUUAUUUUUGAGGAAUUUCGGUCUACGAAUACUUUUGAAAUCGUUUCCUUAACGUCGACAAAAUUUGUAUAAUAUUUGUGCUGCGGUGUCAGGCUUAAAGUAAAAGAAAUCUCAUACAGAUUUUGUCAAUGUUAGAAUAUAUUCUUGCAACUGUCACGCUAAUCGUGAUAAGUUCAGGUUUCAAAUUAUAAUUAAAUAUUUUCAUAUAUUAUGUAGUAUGAAUAAAAGAUUGAAUUAAAAA